UCAUAAAUUACAAACACACACACGUCAUUGGUUUGAUUGUCUUCAACUUCUUGAUCCGAUCUGGAGCUUCAACUUGAUCCGAUCCUUAUCAACACCUUGAUCCGACCGCCAUCAAGUAUUCGUCUCUAUCCGGGCCUUGCGAACUUUUAGGCUUGCAACCGAUCAACCAAUGACGUGCAACUAUACAUUAUACAACCCAAUAAUAAAAAUGAAAUAAAAAUUAAUUACAUUUGAUAACUUUUAUGUAAUAUACCGAAAAUUCGGAAAAUAAAUAUCGAACUUUAGUCAAAUUGGCCAAAGUGCGAGGAUGAAACACUUCGGAAAGUCCGAAGGUGUUAAAAUGAUUAAA
rnacentral:lncRNA from 1 species